ACAGGGGGGGCAAGCGUUGUUCGGAAUUACUGGGCGUAAAGGGUCUGUAGGUGGCCAACUAAGUCAGACGUGAAAUCCCUCAGCUUAACUGGGGAACUGCGUCUGAUACUGGAUGGCUUGAGUGUGGGAGAGGAAUGCGGAAUUCCAGGUGUAGCGGUGAAAUGCGUAGAUAUCUGGAGGAACACCGGUGGCGAAGGCGGCAUUCUGGACCAUAACUGACACUGAGAGACGAAAGCCAGGGGAGCAAACGGGA
rnacentral:rRNA from 1 species